GUUUUUCUGUGGCUAGUGAGCCUUAUCUCUCCUCCCUUCCCAGGCAUUGUGAAGACCCUGUUUCCUUAGCUGUGCAGCAGCAAGGUCACUAGACAGAUAAACUCAAGUCGCAAAACAUGCUUUUCCUUAAAAAGUAAGAAAUGAUAUAAUGCAUGUCUCAAUUGAAUAACUGCCUUUGUUUCUCUCUUCUGUAGUAUGCUUCCCCCUGCACAGAUCUCCCCCCCACCCAAGAAAUGCUUAAAAGAACUAUUCCUGGAAGCUUUCCCUUCUGUCUGACAGAAAUCUUCCCACGCUGUCUUUCCAAACUCCUACUUAAUGCUUUGAAUUCAGACUGCUGAGUCUCUGAGCACACCAGACAACACUGGGGGUGGAGGUGGGGAUCCACUCCGGAACUUCCCAUCCAGAAAACCUCAGGUGUCAUCCUCACUCCUGUGUUGGGAACUGAUAGCUUGAAGGCAGUUCCUCUGAAACCAAGGACUUCAGUGAAUUUUUUGGACUGGAAUGGAAACCUUAUGGUGCUAGGCCCCACCGUGGAAGGCCACGGCAUGGAAGGCUGCUUGGUGGGGGUUGUUAACCUGUACUGCCUAAGGCAUGUCCUGCUUGGGCUGCCAUGCAUGUCCUCUGGGAUUGUGCUUUGUGUCUGUGUGUACCUGAUUAUCAUGACACUGUCUCAGCCCAGGAAGAUGUUCAGGUCCACUUUACUUUCCUGGCCUGAGUUGUGAUGUGCCACCAGGUAAAAAGUUUAAUAUAGACAUGUACAGAGGAAGCUACCUGGACUUCUAAGAUAGACCUUUAUAAUUAAGCAGAUUUGUUGAAGCUGGCUAAAUUCAGGAUCCUUAAAAGAGGGUAAAUACUGAGUGUAUUGGAAAAAACUGGGAUCAAUCCUGACAGAGAUCCUACAAAUAAUACUUUUACUAUAUUUUGCCUUGCUAAGGACUAAGGGGAUGGACCAUGCAGAGUUAGCAGGGCAAGUUUGAGACUGUUAUCUUUAGAAAGACUUGCUUGAAAGGCUGGCCCUUGGCUAACAUCAGGGAACUUGGAUUUUUGGAGUUUUCUAGCUAUUCUAUAGCUGAUAUGGUUGGCUUACUAUGCUAAGACUGUUUAUGCAAAUGAUGGAGUUUAUGCUAACACUUGCUUCCCUUCUCGAAGCCUGGAAUUUUGGUACAUGCUAGGCAGAGGGUGUGUACAUGAUCAGUCCCCAGUAAAACCCUUGGGCACACAGUCUAACUGGCUUCACAUGUGUUGUCACAGUUUGAUGCUGGAGGAAUUAAGCACAACCUGAUGACUCUACCAGCACUCUUGGAAACCUAUACCUGAUUUUCUUUGGACUUGGCCCCAUACACUUUUUGUCUGUGCUAAUUUUGCUCUGUAUACUUUUGUUACAACAAGUCUUAGCUGUGAGUAUGACCAUAUGUUGAAUCCUGCUCAUCUUUCUGGUCAUCAAAUCUAGGGGUAGUCUUGGAGACCCUGAUGUCAACUUCCAAGAAUUCUCAUUAGAAAAAAGACAAAGCAGCAGUCUAUUAGAAGAUAACAGCUACCUCUGAUUAGACCAAAGGAGAGAAAAGACAGGCUAAGGUUGACUGAGUGUGACUCUUUCUCCAACCUACGCAAUUUCCUAUGAGGAUUUCCCUUAGUAAGACUUUCCUUCCACACAAUAGCUGCCCCCAGAUUCCUCAACCAUCCUGCACGUGGCUGGGGAUGUUGCAUAAUUCUUGGGCAUACCUAGGACAACUGUCCAUCCCCUGGUGGAUCUUGGUUCAGGAUUUUGUUGCCAGUAUGUUCCACAGAAAUCAGAAGAAAAGAGGUACAAGGUCAUCAAAAACUCUUCUGUUUAUUACAUCAGACUGGAGUCAAUGUCUUUCCCUUUAUAAUCGUGAGGGAGCUCAGGAGGGUUGUGUAAUGAUAUUUGUCAGGGAAUCAAGGGAAGAGAAUAUUCUAACAGGAACCACCCCAACCUUUAUGCUUUAUGAGAUAUUCAUAUAAGGGGACACUGGCAAAGAGAAAAUCAUUUUAUUCAUCAAACUCUGGUUGAGCAGAGCUUGUGUUGCAAGGUGAAUUAUGACAUUGUGAACAAAGGUCAUUUUGGGGAAGAUCCCAGGUUGGAUGUUGAACUAGAAGAAAAAUAUUAGUGGUACAAUUGGUAAAAUUUGAACAGGACUUGUAGAUUAAUUGAUUAUAUAUUGUCAAUGUUAAUUUCCUGUCUAAAAGAUUAUUCUAUGGUUAUGUAAGGUGUUAACAUGAUGGGAAGCUGCAUAAAGGGUAUAUGGGAACUCUGGGCACCAUUUUUACAACUUUAAGUCUAAAAUCAUUUCAAAUAAAAAGGCAUUAAAAAGUCAAA